UCAGCUGGGCAGGAAAGUGCUCUAUUGAUAAGCUACCACUUUGUGGGUAUCAGUAAUUCUGCUUCUACCUCUUCCAAAGAUUCCUCUCAUUUCUCUUCCUACUUUUCUUGCCUCUUUGAAAUAGGAAAUUGAAAGCGAUGGUCAUCUGGGAAGGAGUGGCUCUACUCCGGAAGCCUGGUCUUUCUUUAAGGAGUAAUCAAUUUAGACCCACGGGAACCGAGCUUCAAUCAGGUUUCCUUUGCCUCAUUGGGGAGAGGAGGAAAUAAGGACGCAAGGAACACAGUCUGUGACGGUUGAGCGGUUGAGCAUUCGUAAGGAAUGGACGACUCCCCAAAGAGUUGCUUCCUAACUCUGCUUUUAAAUUUUUAUGACACACGAAGUCUCAAAAAGAUCUUGGUGAGAAAACUGCUGGGUGAUUUGAUAGUUUAUCUCUUGGCAAUUUGAGAAUCAAUAUUCCUGCGUGGUGAGCUGGAGUUACUUCCCAAAAAUGUUAAUCACAGCUGGAUUGAAAGAGUCUUUGGGAAAUGUGGCAAUGUUGUUUAUAUAAGUAUACCACAUUAUAAGUCUACUGGAGAUCCAAAGGGAUUUGCGUUUGUGGAAUUUGAAACAAAAGAACAAGCAGCAAAGGCAAUUGAGGCUCCUUCUAACAACAGGAAUGAAUUGACAGUGAUCCAUUGACAGAGGGAAAAGUAUUCAUAUGUAAGAAACCUGGGUCCAGAGCAGCUCUCACUCAACCAAAUUCUGUGGCCAAAACAAGCGAGGUCUUCUUCCUCCAGCAGCAGUAGCCGCUUCCCUGUAAUGUUGUUUUCUUUGAACAAGCUUGCAUAUACGCUCAUCUCUGCUGAAGAGUCACCUGAAGGAAGUGAUUAGAAAGCAGUAUAAAAUUAGAUGAAAUCACAUCCAAAACAAAGUUAACUCCAUGAAUUAAGAAGGUAACUUAUUCCACUUGCCUUUUCUGACGAGCUGCUGAACCCAACAAUACUGUGAAAGAGAGGACACAUAUGGUUUUGAAGAUUCACACAUGGUCAGUGGCCGGUCUUCACAGUAAACAUAGAGUUUUCAAUAGAUCAAAAUAGCUUUAAUUCCUGGCUCAACCACAGAGGUAAAAUAGAAGACUUUCUCUUUGUAGUUUUAAAACCUCAAGCUUUCAAAUGGGAGAUAUCCCUCUCUUCGGGGGUCUUGGACAGUUAAAAGACCAUUGGUUUCCUCCUUCUUUGGGAGAUAUUUUUAAAUCCUUUCAAGAGGGUUCUUACUUAUAGUGAUUCUUCCAUUUAUGUGCCAGUGGCCCCCUGGAUUGCUGAGGGGCACCAGUUUACUCAGGAAUUCUAUGAGUUCUACGGACCACACAGCAGUGGACGGAAAGAAUCUUCUGUUCUAGGCCAGGUUGUGAAGUAGCCACGUGGCCCCGGCCAAGUCAAAGUAUGGAGCUUCCUAUGUAGAAUGAGGAGACUGGACCCAGUGACCCUUAGUCCCUGUAUAUCACACGGCCUGGGUUUAUUGGUGGCCUCUCACAGUACCUUGGUGAGGGGAGAAGGAUGGGAGGGCAGACUCAGUCCCUCUGAUUCUCUGGGGGAGUCCUCAACUCUGGAAUUUUAUUUAAGUGGCCUGGAAACCACUCAACCUCAGAGCAAAGACUAAAAAUAGCUGUUAGAACUCAGUGCUUUUUAAAAAAUUCUUUUCAAAUGAGAGGGAAACUUUGCAGCAAGGGAUAAAGAGAUUACAUCCAGGCUUGUGAAUAAAGGAGACCCUGAGUCCUCUUUCCUUGUUAAGCAAGGCUGGCAGGAAAGUGAGGCUCACUGGGGCUCAGUGAAUGGGAAGAAAUAGUGGCAACUGGUGCCAAGUUUCCUUACCCUAUGUAAGCCAAAGAGGUUAGCUAAUGUUGAAAGCAGGUGCACUUCAAAAGAAUACAAAGGGCAGAGAGGGAAAUGCCUGGGCCCAAAACCAGUUUGAGCUAGGUAAACAGAUCUUUUGAGGAGUUUCCAGUAGCUAGUCUGCACUUCGUGGCACCUGGUCUGUUCCCUGGGCUGGAGCCCAAACCCACUAAGGCUCACAUUACAUCUUUUGUUUUUUUCAUUUUAAUUUAGCGAUACCCUGAGCUUGUUAAAUAGACCUGGAUAGGCAUAAGUCCCUGAGUUUUAUAGAACUUAAAACAAUUUUUUUUUUUUGAGAUGGAGCC